rnacentral:lncRNA from 1 species
UGAGUAGGACCACCAAACCCGAACCGGUUCAAAGAUACAAAAGGCGAAGAAGAAGAAAUCCAAUGCAAAUACAAAAAAGGCUAAUCUUUUCAAUCAAAUUGAUGGUAAUAGCGAUGCAGAAUCGUUUAUCCUUUCCAGAUGCCCCCAACAGAAGAAGAAGAAGAAGAAGAAGAAGAAGAAGAAAUCAGUACCUCAUUCAUAUUUGCAAAGGUAUUUUUCUCGUUUUUGGUUCUGCUCUGUGUUUAUGUUUACGCACGUGGAUUUGGAUACUUGUUCUAUGCUAACCCUACAAUUCUUUAAAUUUCAGGGAAGUAAUACUAUGGACAUUGAUCAGGUGAGUUUUAAUUGUUGUUGGUUUAACGACUUUGAAGAUUCUACAACAAGUUCCUAGUAUGUAAAGAAGACAGUUAUACUCUCUGACAGUAAUUAUUUCUGUGACUGAGAAAUUACUCGAAUCAUAGCAGUACUACUUAUAUAAAAACAAUCACCAGAUCAGAGCUAAAACUUUACUUUGAAAUUCCACAAGUAUUCCUUAUUUGGAACACUUCCCGGACCCCGCGCAUAGCGGCAACAUAGUGCAGCGGGCUGCCCUUUUUUAUUACUUAUUUGGAACAACAAUUGUGGUCCGGCCCUUCCCCAGACCCACGCAUAGGCGGAGCUUAGUGCAACGGGCAACCCUUUUUUUAUUCCUUAUUUGGAAUAACAAUUGUGGUCCGGCCCUUAAUUCCCUAGACCCCGCGCAUAGCUUAGUGCACCGGGCUGCCUUUUUUUAUUCCUUAUUUGGAAUAACAGUUGUGGUCCGACCCUUCUCCAGACCCACGCAUAGGCGGAGCUUAUUGCACCGGAUUAUCCUUUUUUAUUCCUUAUUUGGAACAACAGUUAUUGUAAUCAUUGGGCGGCCUUCUCAACUAAUUCAAAGGUUAGUUGUAGAAGUUGUGCUUGAAAACUUGUUUUGAACUCUGGUCGCUGUAGCUUUCUUUUUAUAUAUUUGUUCUUGGUUUUCUCUAUGUAUAUAUAUGAGCUCGAAAGAUUUAACAUCUUCAACUAGUGAACUACUAAAGCGUUCCAAGAGGAAAUAGUUAUGGAGAUCUUCCGCAGGUUAUCCGUGCGGUCUCUUCAACGGCUCAAAUGUGUUUCAACAUUCUGGAAGGCAUUAAUCUUUGAUUAUUACUUUAAGAUGAAGCAUCUCAAUCGUGCCAAGAAGGGUCAAAAAUCCCAAAAACUUCUUGUUGCCCAAUACGCGGGGGGGUGAUGCGGUUGAAUUCUCUUGUUUUUUUUAUCGCCGGUUCAAGUGGUUGCGGAUGAACAAAAACUUGAUUUGCCUACAAACUGCAAAUCACAUUACCACAUAAGUUUGUUGUUAUGAUGGAUUGGUUCUUCUCGUAACUUGUGAUAGACUUGGCAUACACCUUUUGCUCUGGAACCCCUCCACAAGAGAAUCAAUAGUAGUUCCCUAUCUAGAAUAUAAACGACAUGAUUGUGUUUUUGGAUUGGGAUAUGACACAACUAGGGAUGACUAUAAGAUCCUUGCGGUUGACUUGAAUAAAAAUUGUUCUGACAAAGUAUCCGGUGAAAUUCUCGCGCUAAAAAGUUGUUCAUGAAGGAAAAUUGGUAAAUAUCCUACUUGUAUUCGCCGUUCGUCGACCUACUAUUCUGAUUCAUUGAAAGCUCAAAACUCCUUUGGACAGAGCUGCUUAAAAGAUUGACUGCUCUGCUCUCCCAUUUGACAUUAUACCUCUCUCUGUAUAAUGCUUUUCAGUAUUAUAAUACAUAUAGCUAUAUAAAAUAAUUCAAUACAUGGUAUUGGUAAACUUGUUUCUUAGGACUUCCAAAACUUUCUUGUGUUACUGAUGUUGGGCCAAAAUGCUAUACUUUUAGUACAUUACUCUCCUUACAUGUUAGUUUAGUAGUUAUUUGUGCGACAUUUGAGCUAAAUUAUGUUAUUUUAUGUGUAGGGGUAUUAGAAGAGAAAGACGAGUGAAGGUUGCACAAAAAGAGGACGAAAAUGCAAGAAAAGAGCACAAAAAUGCCAAGUACCCAAACCGCGCUACAGGCCAGGCUUCGCGAGGUCUAUAGCCAGCUUGACCGCGCUACAGACCAGGAUUCGCGAGUUCUAUAGCCAGGUUGACCGCGCUAUAAGCCUCGCUUCGCGAGGUCUAUAGCCCGGUAAUUAAAAGUCGCUGGUUAAAAGUCUCUAACCCGGAUUUGGACUCAAGAACUUCAACCCUAGCUUAUAAAUACUCCCUAAACAUGUCUAUUUAGUCUAAGAGAAAGGGAGGACGUUUUUUUAGAGCAAAUUCAACCAAAAGGGAGAUAUUGUUUAGAGGGUAUUCGACCUAUGGAGGCAAUAACACACUAGGAACAAGGCGGAGAAUUCUUCUAUGAGUUUUUCACUUUCUUUUUCCUAUUUCCACUAUUGGUUAUGAAUUCUUGUAUUGUAAUUUUGCAUACUAUUAUGAAUAUCUAAUUUGUUAUCUAGAGUUUUAAUAAAACCUUUUGUAAGAUGAAUUCUUGUUAUAUUUUUAUAUAAUUGAGCCGUU